GAUUAAGAAAUUAUUUUUUUGGUAGUAGGCAAAAUAUUGUAGUUUAUUAGUAUGGGUUAGAAAUUAAUUUUUGUGUGAUAGUUUAUUAGUAUUGUGAGAGUUAUUUUAAAUAUUAGGUUAUUAGUAUUAUUUAAAAGAAAAAUUAAUUUUUUGUACCUUGUGUAUCAGGGUUUAUUAAAAAUUGGCUAUUUAGUUGGUUAUCUCGAACUAUAAAGAGCUAAUAAAUUAUACAUUUAAUUGUGGAAUAAAUUUUUAUAAUAUUUUAUUGGAAAUGAAACGUUAGUCGUUUUUUAGGAUAUCUAGUUGUUAAAGAAAUUAAUUUAAUUUAGCAGGUUUAUUAUAUAUGACUAAUUAUUUAGUUGUUUAAAUUAAUCUAGUAAUAUAUCAAGGGUUAAGCUUUGAGUUAAAGUUUUAGAAAUAAGUUAUGGAUUUAAAAUUAAUUAGGAUUGAAAAUUUCUUUUUGUUUGUUAUAAUUAUUUUUUAUGUUAAUAAUAUUUUUAUUUUUAUUUUAGGUUUUUUAUUUAAUUGAUUAAUAUAUUGAUUUAUUUAGUGUAAUAAUGAUUGAAUUAGUAUAUAGUUUUGUAUUUGAGUAUUGAUGUCUUUGUGAGGUUGAUCCAAGGAACUCGGCAAAUUUGUUUUUCGCCUGUUUAUUAAAAACAUGGCGUUUUGAUUAUAAUUUAAGGUCUGACCUGCCCAAUGAGUAGUUGAAUGGCCGCGGUAUUUUGACCGUGCAAAGGUAGCAUAAUCAUUAGUUUUUUAAUUGGAAGCUGGAAUGAAUGGUUGGACGAGAAAACGACUGUCUCGGUUUUAUUUUGUUAUAAUUUUAUUUUUAAGUAAAAAAGCUUAAAUUGAUUUAAAAGACGAGAAGACCCUAUAGAGUUUUAUAUUCUUAGGGUACUGGUCUUUUUAGAAUUUUGAUACUGGUAUUUGAUAGCGUAUUUUGUUGGGGUGACAGGAAAAUUAAGUUAACUUUUCUUUAUUUGAAACAUUGAUUUAUGGUUGUUUGAUCCAUUAAUUAUGAUUACAAGAUUAAAUUACCUUAGGGAUAACAGCGUAAUUUUUUUAGAGAGUUCUUAUCGAUAAAAGAGUUUGCGACCUCGAUGUUGGAUUAAAAUUUAUUUUUGGUGUAGGAGCUGGGAAAUUAGGUCUGUUCGACCUUUGAAAUUUUACAUGAUCUGAGUUUAAACCGGUGUGAGCCAGGUUGGUUUCUAUCUUUAAAUUGAUUAAAUAUUUUAGUACGAAAGGACCAAGUAUUUACAAAAUUUGUUUAUUAGGAUUAUUAGUAAUAU
rnacentral:rRNA from 1 species